CUCUGAAUCUUCACUAAAAUGUUAUAUUUGUGACAAAGUGUUUAAAAGAAAACACUAUCGAAAUUGUCAUAUGUGAAAUAUUCACAAGAUAAAUUGUAAGGGAAAACUAUUGCCUGAAGUCGAUUAUUCUUGCUUAUUGUGUAAUAAAAAUUUUGCAUGCAAGAGAAAUUUACAAAUUCAUUUGAAUGCAGUUCACUUACAACAAGAUGAUUCAAACUUACUUAAAUGCGACAAAUGCAGCUACAGCACUGCGUACAAGUAAAAUCUUAAAAGGCAUCUGUCAAAACAUACAAAUCACAAACAGCAACAAAAACUUUUGAAAUGUUCUAAAUGCAAUGCCAUAUAUAGUUCUUUGACAUUUUUAAGGUUGCACGAAAAAAAAUCUCACAAUGAUCUCAAAAUAAAAUGUUUCAUCAAUACAAAUAGUAUAUGCCUCUUCAUGUUGGUCAUAAAAGUGAACUGAAGCAUACAUGGUUGACUACCGAAGAAAGAAAGUGUAUUGCAAAACAUUAGCUUGUAAAACUCCCCACCAUGAUGUACUUCGAAUGGUCAGAAGUACAAUAACCAACCAAGAGCUGCAAAGAUUGCAUCUAAUAACAAGAAAAGACAUCGCCAAUAUUGAAAGGGAUUUUAACCUAACCUCUGAGGCGCAGAAACAUCCCUUUGACUCAAUAAGUGUUGAAUGCUGGUAUCGUCAACUGAAGGACUCAAAAGAUACAGCUUGUGUGUUUUAUAAACCAUAAGGAGGAACAUUGAAUGACUAUCACGAAUUAACAAAAGACGAUUUUGUUCUGAUUUAUAUGUCAGAAGGUCAAAAGGUGUUGCUUAAUAAAUAUGGGAAAGAUACCAUAUGUAUAGACGGUAUCAAUAAGCAGAAUUUUCAGCUCUGUACUAUUUUAACUUUAGAUGCCAGCCAAGAAGGAUUUCCAACUGCUUUAAUGUUUAGUGAUAGGGGAGAUGACAACAUAAUGUCUUUAUUUUUUCAAAAAAUAAAAGAUAUGGUAGGUGUUGUACAGACAAAUGUUUUUAUGUCUGACAUGGAAGAAACCUUUUACAAUGCCUGGGUAAAGGUCAUGGGCCCAAUGCAAGUAAGAUUAUUUUGUACAUGGUAUAUACUGAGAGCGUGGAAAAAGAAUUUAAACAUAAUAUAGUCAAAAGAAAUUAAAGAGACGCCACUUUUAAAAUUUUGCAAACUUUGCUACAAGACAGGGACAUAAAUACUUUCCAUACCCUACUUGAAGGAGCCUUAAAAAGUUUGAUAGUGAACAAGAUACUUCUGUCUUCGGCAACUAUUUCAAAGAUUAUUACGUAAAAAACCACCGUUUUAAGCUUUGGGCAUAUUGCUACCGCAUGAAUGCUGGCAUAAACACUAAUAUGUCAAUAGAGAGCUUCAAUACAGUGUUGAAAUAUUUUUAUCUGGAAGGAAAAAAAGUGCAAAGACUGGAUAAAACCUUAUGUGCUUUACUAAAUCUGAUUAGGGACAAACUUUUUGACAGCUUAAUAAAAUUGGAAAAAGGUAAAGUACUUACAAAACUAUAAAUGUUAUGUAGACUACCUAGACGGCAUAAAGAAAGCUAUGAGAUUGCUGACUAUAACAUCAUUACAUUGGAAAAUAAAUGGCAAGUGUUAUCUUCUAAAGCACAAGAAUUUUAUUCAGUAAAAAAAGUUAAAGAAUGCAACUGUUGUGUACUUUUGUGCCUACGUUGUAAUUCCUGUUUUCAUGAAUACAUAUGUUCGUGUAUGGACAAUAGUAUAAAAAACUGCAUGUGCAAGCAUAUCCAUUUGGUGGCUUGCUUACUCUGUAGCAAAACUGAUGAAUCUCCUUUGGAAAUGUAUAGACUGGGGUUUUGAAAAUUGACCAUUGAUGAUGAUACGAACUUAAAAGAGCAAAUACUAUAAGAAAUUUCAUAUGACAAAAACAACACUCCUAAUGACGAGGCUCGCCCAAAGAGAAUUUAUGAAAAAAUGACAUUGUGAUGGAAUACAUGAAAAGAAACUACUUCAGACCAAAAAGAUUAUAUUGAUAACCAUUUGACACAAAUAUUAACUAAAUUAGAUGCAAUGGCCACUACUGCGCAGAUACCAGUUAAGAUAUGUUUGGAUAUAAAACAACUCAUUAAUUCGUAAUAGAUAACAGAAAUCAGAACCGUUUAGAACUGAGGUUGCAAUCAGCUGCAUGUUCUGGGUUUGUCGGAACUGCUUGGCUCUGACCAGUCGAAUUUUUGGGAUUUAUCGGUACUGCUCGGCUCUGCCCCCACUCUUUCUCUCCGCAGCGUGCGAUCACCUCACCUCAUCUAGGUGACCCAUGAGGAGCUCAUCAAUUGUCACCUGAAAACACAGACUGUACUCCCGGCCCAGGAAGCAACCACUGUUCACCCGUUGUAAUCACCAAAAACUGUUUUGAAAUAUCUUUCAUUUGUGGGUUGAUGUAAAAUUAAAUUAGUACAAAUUUUAACAAGUAUUCUCAACCAGUACGUAAAGUAUCAUAGAGUAUUUUCAAAAUCUCAAAAUAAUAGCUAAUAACCAAUGUUGUAAGGAUUUACAAAAACAUGUAUUAUGCCUUUAAUUAUUAACUUACAACUCUUAAUUUUUAGAAUGUUGUUCUUUAAAAGGCAUACACAAAAUAUUUUUACUGUAAUAAGAUUUUAAUAAUGAUGAGUUAAAGUGGAGAAAGCUUAAAUUUUAAACACAAAGCAGUUUUCUCCAUAUUUGUUGUUACAACAAUCCGAAUAGUAAAAAAAAUAUUUUUCCUUUACUCAAAUACAUUGGUGAACACUACACAAAUAGUAAAACCUUGUUUCUGAGGUAAUAUUUUAAUGUGGUAGACAUUUGUAGUGAGAUGUUUAGCUUGUGAGAGAGGUCACAGGAACCCAGCUCCAUCAGGAAUCUUCUUUAGAAAAACAAACUAUACUCCAGCUGAACAGGAACAGACUUGGGACAGAAGCAGGAUACAUAAAAGGGGGAUGAUAAAAAGAGAGCUGAAACCCACAACAAUGACCCUAAUAAUUGUGACACUUGGCCACUCCAUGGUUCUACAUAGCUACUACAGCUCUACCAGUUUCACAUAAAAAGUGAUGUAAUAGUAUUAUUAUUAAGAUAAACUUACAAAUGAGGGGAAGAAUCUUCGAGGAGAUAGAUCAAAUUUGUCAUCUCGACACAGAACCGACUGCGUUAGUGCAUUUAUUAGGCGGCAUCUACGCAUGUGAUCGAUCCUGUUAGUGUAUUGUGUUAAUUCAAGCGUGUUAGUGUCAAUACAAUGUCUAGUUUAGUGCGUGUCUACAUAUCGUUGUUUUAGUGUGUGUGUUUGUAACAAACAUUAUCUUUUACUAUUCAUUUUAUUUAGUUUAUUAUUAUUAUAAUUUAAAUGGAAAAUAAUUUGGAUACCAUUGUUCUUCCUUAAAUUGAAUAGGUUGAAGAUAAUUGUUUCCCUAUUUAUGGUAGUGACAGUGAAUAUGAUACUCCGCCAGAGUAUUCGACACACAAUGCAAACACUGAACAGUCUUGUAAAAGUGAUGGGGAUCCAGAACUUUUUGCUCCAAUCUUACAACCCAAAUGCCCUGUCAGGAAAAACAGAUUUACGCUUUUCAAGUGUUGAGCUUGUUCAAGGUCUACAUGCAAGGAAAAUAUUGCGAAAACCAUACACAUAAUUGUGCAACAGAAGGAAAAUAAUAACUAUUUAUUCUGCAAUUGUCAUUGUAUUUUCAUAUAUUUUAUA
rnacentral:lncRNA from 1 species